CACGUAGGGGACGAGCGUUGUCCGGAUUCAUUGGGCGUAAAGAGCUCGUAGGCGGUUUGUCGCGUCUGCUGUGAAAACCCGAGGCUCAACCUCGGGCCUGCAGUGGGUACGGGCAGACUAGAGUGGCGGUAGGGAGAUUGGAAUUCCUGGUGUAGCGGUGGAAUGCGCAGAUAUCAGGAGGAACACCAAUGGCGAAGGCAGAUCUCUGGGCCGUAACUGACGCUGAGGAGCGAAAGCAUGGGGAGCGAACAGG
rnacentral:rRNA from 1 species